rnacentral:rRNA from 1 species
AGUGAACGCUGGCGGUGGGCCUAACACAUGCAAGUCGAACGGCAACACAGUAAGAGCUUGCUCUUACGGGUGGCGAGUGGCGGGCGGGUGAGGCAUACAUCGAAAUCUACUUUUUCGUGGGGGAUAACGGAAGGAAGGUUACGCUAAUACCGCAUACGUCCUACGGGUGAAAGCAGGGGAUCAUCGCAGCUUUCGCGAUUGUAAUAGCCGAUGUCGGAUGAGCUAGUUGGGGGGGUAAAGGCCCACCAAGGCGACGAUGCGUAGCGGAUCUGAGAGGAUGAUCGGCCACACUGGAACUGAGACACGGUCCAGACUCCUACGGGAGGCAGCAGUGGGGAAUAUUGGACAAUGGGCGCAAGCCUGAUCCAGCCAUACCGCGUGGGUGAAGAAGGCCUUCGGGUUGUAAAGCCCUUUUGUUGGGAAAGAAAAGCAGCAGGUUAAUACCCCGCUGUUCUGACGGUACCCAAAGAAAAAGCACCGGCUAACUUCGUG